UCAGGCAAACAGCCCCGACUCUGUGGCCACACACAGGUCAGGGGCACUUACCAGUCAUGUUCCAGCUGUGCACAACGUCAACCAUCUCACUGGUGCUUUCUGAGCACCUUAAACAGACACUGCCAAGAGUAGAAGCCACAGCACACUAAGUGGCCACAGACUUUGAAAAGCACACACAGUCUUUGGAGGUUGCACAUUUCCAGAGAAAGGUCUCCCAGCUCUCCAGCAGAGCUGUGGCCACUGUGGUGCUAGUGCUGAGGCCAAGGGUGUCUUUCUGUCCAUCAGUGGAAACACUUGGAAAGGAAACCCUGAAGCACCUGACAGAUGCUCUGGGAUUACCAAGGAAGUAACCCAUUUUGGCUGUGGUGAACUGUUUUCACAGACCUUGAUUUAUGUUCCCCCUGCUUUCUUCCAGUUCUGGCUGGGGAUGAGCAGACACUGCUCCUCUCCCUCUCCCCUCCUACCCUGGUUGUUGCUCACCGCUUUUCUGCUGUGGAGGAACUCUCCUGAAGCAUCAUGUGUGUUCUCAUCUCCUGGCGCGAGAUGGGGCAGAUCUCUUCCACAUCAAAAGGAGAGAUCUCUUGCCUGAUCGCCUCAUCUUUCACCUCUGAGGCAAAGACCUUCUCUGCGAAGGAGCGCAUUGCCUCAUCCAUCUCUGCAAGGAGAAAGAGCGGGAUGCAGGGUCACACAGGCACCUGGCUCCCAGCCACCCCAACAGGAAGGUGCUCCUUGCCGUCAGCUUAGAGCUCAGUUCUCAUCUCCUUAAUACACCUCCACCCCACCUGGAAGACUCUGAGCACCCUCCAAACUUUUCAACAAGCUUACAGGGCCUGUCCCACACAUUGUGGACUGGAGACAUACCUAGAGAUCCGCAGUACACUGGAAAAGGUAAACACAACCCACAGUCUGAGAGUAGCACAAAAAGGCUGAGAAAGAAGCCACUUUCCACUCCUUGGGAAGGACACUUAGGAGACUAUGCACUGGGGGAAGAGGGAAAGACUGGCAGAGCCCUUGUAACUCCAGGAAAUCCAAGGCCCACUUGUUCCACAAGGCAUCCAGGCAGGAUGAAGACAGAGGUGGACACGGAGGUGGACAAAGCUGGCAGCCAAAAUAGUUUCUGCCAUCACAAGGCAGCUGAAUAGCUCCUAGCUAGGGUACCAAUGUGUGGCCUGGACCCCUCUCAGCCCAUCACAUUCAGCAUCCUGCAAAGGUGCCAGAUAACAUGGCUCUAUGAAAAGUCCCCAUGGACACAAGGUUGGUUGGAGUUUUAGGGAGCAGAAGAGGGUCGUUAAAAGCCUUUCUACUGCCAGCAAAAUACCAUAAAACAAGAACCCAAGGGCUCUUCUGGGAACAUCUCCUCAAAGCGCACACUUGCAUAGCAGCAUAUGGACACUAGCUGAGCAGGUUUCACUGGCAGUUGGCAGCUCAGCAUGAAGCAUAGUGAAGAUCGAUGCUGAAAGAAGGGCACGUAGGGCCACACCAUUGACAUGUCCAACAGGACAUCGUGGUCAGCAGUUCUUGAUGGAGUUGAUAAACUGUAUUGGGAUCAGGACAAAUCAAGCAAAGCAUUCAGGCCAUAUGUUAUCACAGUCCUGCUGAUGAUUUAAAAUGUGACUUUGGUCCCAACAGAGACAGGAACAAAUAAUCAGCACCCCUGGAAAAGACAAUAUUGUCUGGAAUUGCAUACACAUAAGUGCUUCCUGUGCUAUAUUUUGUAGGAACAGCUAAGAAAAGGUCUUGUCUCGGAAGAUGGCUAGUAUAAGUGAAAGAAUUGCUUGUCUAAGACGUAGAGUAUGAAAUAAGGCAAAAGUCAUAGAUUUUGUUCAUGGGAUGCACGAGAAACUUGUGGCACAACCAGUCAGUCAAGUAAGAUGAGCUGGGACUUUGCUCUGCAUCCCCAGCUGAGAUGAUUUCCAAAGCAUCCAGAAAUUCUCUCUGGAAGAACACUUCUUGAUGUGCAUAAUUUGAAGACAUGCUGGGUUACAAUUAGGAAAUUCUCCAUAACUCAGGGAGUUUUAGCCCCAUUUCCCAGAUAUUCCCCAAGAAUAUCAGUUGAUUUUCCUCCCCAGCAAGCAGAGGUGCAGCCAACAGGGCAAAGCUGGGAUGCUGUUACAGUCUUGAUCUGUAAUAAUACCCAGUCUCUUUUCUCAGACUGACAAGAGUCUUCACUUUCUGAAUUAUUCUUGUUACUCAUUUACCAGUUUGCCCCAAACUGCGUUAUUGCUCAACUAUUCCAUUUAAGAUCAAUAAAAACUAUGUCCUGGUUGUUUGCUCUGCCACAAGGAUUAGACCUGUCCCCAACCUUUUUUAGACAUAUCAAGGUCUUGAGAUUCACAUCUGAAACCAAAGAUAACCUUUAGGGUGCAGAGGUUACCUUCUUCAAGAGGUCUCUUGAUCCCCUGGCUGUUUAAAUCACAGGGUCAAAUUAGUUGGGUUCAUGGUAGAAAUAUGAGUAAAGGUUGGGUAUGCUGUGCUAAAGUUAGAACUACAGUCUCUUUAAACUGAGGUAUUGAAUGCAAGCAGGGCAUCUCCCCAGUUGUUUUUAGCUGGAAAGUGAUUCACACCCAGAGGCUUUAGAGGUGUUCUGAAAAACAAAACAAAACCCCAUACUUUAUCUCUGAAAUGCCUUCAUUCUGCCCAGACUCACUCAAAGAAAAAUAGCCAAACGUGCCAGGAAUUUGGCAGCUCAGGAUAUUUAGCAAACUCUUCCUCCAAUCUGCCUAGCAGAGCAGCUGUAUCAGAGGGGUUGCUGUCCAAAAAGUCUACAGGCAAGUUUUGCUAGCAAAUGAUUUCAAUUCCUGAAGAGGAAAAGUAUUAACAGAGGAAUGUAACAUGGAAACUCACAAGUGCACUUCUUGAUGCGCUUGCAUUAAGGAGCCUCAAAAGUUUCUUCUCUCCUCACAUUGCUCUUAUUCAUCCCCUGCACAGAUUCUUCUAGGGCUGCUUAAAUCAGCCUCUGCUCCAAGAUGGAACAAAAGUCAGAGUCCUUUGAUAAGAUGGGAAAUAGUUUCUAGUAACAGAUUGUUACAGAUAAUUAUAAGGGAGAAAAACUUCCCUAAUUAGCCAAGAAAAGCCUCUCUUUUAAGCAUCCAUCUGUACUGUGAUUCUGAAUCUCUCAUGGAACAGGCAACAACUAAUGCAGCUACACAAUACAAGGAGUUUUAUACCUAGCAUAGAACAAGAAUCUGCAUCAAGGGAAGGGGAUCUUUCGGGCAACGGGAGAAGUGCUUUUCAAAGGUAAACUUCACCAGCGCUUCUUCAGCUCCAGGCCCUUAGCACAUGAUAACUUUAAUCAACACGGGACAGCACCUGCUGCUUUACUGUAAGUUACUUUUUCCCAGAAUGCAGCCCCAUGCCAGGAUGUGCAACAACUUUUCCACAGAAACUAGUACCAGCUGGGGCCAGUCUCAUCAUUACUGACUACCUACAGCUGCUCAGGGAAAGAGGAAAAAAAAAGGAAACAAGGUUACUUUUUUAAUGCCAUUCACUUUUAUUUAUGGAAAUACCAAAUAACUCAUAGCUAAGCUGGAAUUUCUGUGAUACUGAGGAUGGUAAAAAUGGCUGGAAUACUCAGCAAUGAGAACAGUUGGGGAUUCACUGCUAAGGAAACAUCAGGUCCAGCAGACUCUAAUCUGAACAUCCACAAUUCACAGCUCUGGAUUGCGACACGGAGGCUAAAGGUGCAAGAAGGCAGCGUCUCCAUCCAACCUUGCAGCAUCUCUAGACUCCCAACACUCCUGAGUGUGUGGAAACCAGUCAGCACACACAAAGGGAGCUGAAAAACCCAAGCUCACAUGUAUGAUUCUUCAUUUAUUUAUUUUGAAGUGCUGCACAGUGAUUUUGUGAAGUCUUCUGUUACUAAGAGUCUAUUUUUCAGUUCCUUAUAUAGAAAACAGAUUGGACUCUGGGUUCCAGAGGCCUGCCACCAUGUCUUAGUAGCACAUUUACAGUGGUCUGAUACAAUUUGCCUUAUGCAGGAGAAAAGCCAAUAUAGAACUAUUUAGAACUAUAUAGAACUAUUUCAGAAGACUGAGUUAAGCAAUGUGAAAGCCUAACAAAGAGCAUGAUCUGGACACAGCAGGAACUUUAUAGCUGAUUUCAGUCAUAGAACAUGAAUUGAAUAGAUCUUCUCUCACCUUUUGUUGCUCUUAGGAAGCAUCUUUUUCAAGGACAAAGUCAACAAAAAAGUUAUGAUGGACCACACUGCAAACAAAGACAAAACUAAAGCAAGAAGCAUGACAACAGACUAGUGAAGUCAUUAAAAUUGGGCUCUGGAACAAGCCUAUAGUAUGUCUCAAAGCCUGCCUCACCCUUUACUGGUGUGAUAGCGAACGUACAUAACACAGCUGUUCAUGCUGCAUUACAGAAUCAAUGACCUGAGUAAAUCUAAACCCUGUAAAGAAAGCAGAUAGCACCGAUAAGUUUUCUGAAAGUCAGUUAUGUGAUCCCGCCCCCAGAUCACUACCACAAAAGAAACAACCAAAGAAUUCACAAAGUUUAUUCUUUAAAAAAGUUAUUUAAGAAGCAAAAUAAUUUACUCCAAACCAACAGAGAUGCAUUACUGAAAGCAGAUAAUUAUACAAAGUAACAACAAAUUAGCCCUUGGAUUAAAAAAAAAAAAAAAGUCCACAUCCCAACAGUAUCCAGCCAUCCCGGAGGCUGCACACAGUCACUUAGGUUUGCAGGGUAAUGAAGGACUAAGUACAGGAUUAGAACGCGAUACAAACCUUCUUUAAUCUCCCUCCCCCCACAGGCUUGAAAUUGCUUGAAAUCCAGUUCUUUCUAAAUCACUUAACUGUGCUAAAAAACGUGUCUACUUCAGCAUCAUGGUUACCAUCCAAAGUGUCUCUGAUGUCAAUGAAAACAAAAUCUGAACAAUGCUUUUUGAACAAGACCAUGGAGUAGGGCACUAACAUUAACCAGCCACGGUGUUACACUAUUUUGUUAAAUGGCUGUUCUCGGUCAACAGUAACAAACAUUUUUUACAAUUAGUUGCACUGGUAAUUUUUGAACAAGAACAUUACACAUUUUUUAAAAUAUUUUACCUCAAGGUUGUUUAUGGCCUGUUCUUAUUAGGAUAAUGAAGUUAUCUUAGUACUAACAGUGUAGUGCUGUUAGUUCAAAAUAAGAACAUUUGGACUGAAUCUACAAAACCAUUUCUAGGGAACCGUCUCGUGCAAAAACUUAUGUGCUUACCUUCUAAAUUAUUUUUCCAAAAGUUUUUUAGGGUUUGGUCCUUCCACAGUGCUCUACAAGUUGCCACCAAAAUCACAGUAACAUUUGGCUGACCAUCCACAAGCUGCUGAUAAAUAUUUUUUUAAAAGCCAGUUGCAUUUUAUACCUGAAAAUCACAGCUAGCAAAGCCCUGAUUAAAGAAGUGCAUCAGACUCAAGUUGUUCCCGGCAAACACACUGCUUUCCCAAGUCCAACUUAACACCAUCAACAGAUGUUAAUUGAGCAAGCUGUAAAAUGGGUAUUACCUUAUACCUUGGAAAGUUCUAAGAAAUCUUAACACCUCAACUGAAAGGGCACAUAGAACAGAACUAAGAAGGGCCAGAGCUGUGCUCCAGCACGAGAUAGUGUGGGUUUCCCUUCUGGUCUGAUCAUGCCCUGUCACAGAUCGCAGCUCAGCAUGAGCAUGCAGGGACUCAGGACACAAAACUUUUUUUCUGUUGGCACUGAAACCUCUCUGAUAGCAAAUCAUCUGCUUACGUGUUCCUCAAACAUUACAAUGGUUGCAUGGGAGUGGGACAGAACACAGCUCCAUAAAAAAGUGUCUCUAGCAGUAGGUUGUGCUAGACAUAAGAACCUUACAUUGAAUGUUUGCAUUCAUCUAUCUGGCGAAACUAAAAGGCAAGGGUAGCACUUGACAUUGCCUCGUCCCAGAACUUCAGAAAGCGUUUCAGCUGUUCUGUUUAAAAAUACCGACUCCCAGACCCAAACCCAUAAGAAGAUGGCUCCUCAGACUUGACUUUAGCCCUAACGCAUCAUGUGAUGCAUAUCCAUUAUGUACUGCCAGGGACCUUCACUGACUGCAAUAACUCAUAUAUAUGUGUAUAUGUACAUGGCUGGAAACCAAGUACAGUCAUUUACUUUGUGCUCAUAACUGGUACAAAACCUGAUUUUGUAAAACCACUUAAUAGAUUUGAACCAAAAAUAUCAUAGAUUGGAGUACCACCCAUGUAAGUUAGCUCUACAGCAUCCUGAAAGCUGAUGCAUGAUCCCUCUGGUUCCAACAGUAAAAUACUUGCUGACCAAGUACUUGCUUUACAGGCCUCCUUCCCUUUUAAAAUUUUAUACGGCCUAAGAGAAAGAGAACACCUAAGAGAAAGUAGAUUCAGUUGCCAGCUCCCAUAUGAUUUUGAGGAUUCACAAAUUCUGAAGUUCCAGCUAGUACACUUUUAAUGACAAGUAGAACAUGCCAAACAAUGUAGAAAGUUGUUAUGAUGAAUCCAUAUCAAAAGGAAUGUUUAAUUUUCACACCUGACCACACAACCUUCAAACACCAACUGCCAGUUGCAAAACACUUCCUGUGGCCAUGGGCAGCAGGCAGCCAUGCUCUGAACUAUGCAGUCAAGCGUGCCAGAGAAGCAGCUCCAAAUUUUUCCAAGUAGUCCAAAAGCAUAAUGGACCUACAAUAAACUCGCCAUUCAACAUAGCAGAAACUCCGCAUUGCUGUCUUUCCAAAAUGCUGAAUCUAUGCAACCAGAUGUGUAUCCCCAAAGCUAUAUUUUUCUGUAAUUUUAUUAAGUGGGCAAAUAGUAUGUCACACAACUCCAGGGACAGUCAGCUCCUGCUUCAGGGCUCAAAGAAUGCUUUCACAAACAACUUUUCUUGCACCAAGAAAAAAACACCAAAAGAACACCAAAAACAACAACGAAACUGCUUGGUGAUUACAGAUAGCUCACAAUGAUCAUGAUUCUGUCACGUUUAACUUGCAAGCAUAAUAUCACCUUCAAAUGAACUCAAGUCACAGCCAGCGUUAUCCAUAAUGCUACCCUCUACUGAGUAUGUCACUGGAAAAUCACGUAAAAAUAAUGUAUUUUAAAUUCUCAUCAGUGUCGCAUCCGUCAAGAAUAAAAUAAAUUGCUAAAAUACUUAUCCGGAGUAUCAAGGAUAAAGAAAAUAUGAUACAGAUUGAUCCUCUGCAUUCCAAGAAGAAAAUUAAGAAUGUAAUUAGUGGAUGAAGAAGUAUUGAAAGGAAGUUUUUUCUCUAUUUACUGAUUUCUGAUUUCAAUUUGGAAUUUUCAACUUCAAAUGAAGAUGUAGGAAUCUGACACCAACAAACUGAAAUUAAGCCUCUUGCAGUUUCUACACUCACACUAGUUCUGCAGACUGAAUACUCCCUCUGUAGGCUGGGGACUCAUUACUCUUCCAUCAGACAGUAACUGGGCAUUCAGCUUUGCUAUGAGAAAUGCUGCCUGAUCACACACAACAGAACCCAGUAUCAGUAGCACAAGAACUAAGGAAAGACACGGUAUUCCAAUGAACGCUAAUAGGCUUUACAACGGGGACCACAUUUGUACGUCCCAUUUACAUAAAGUGACAAUGUUGUGUUCUAGGAAGAACUCACACAGCUUAUGCAGCAAUUCUAUGGUACUUUGAGGCUGUUACAA